AAAAGAAACACUAAAUCCAUGAAUCGAGCAAAUAUGAUAUGCAAAAAGCUACAACAACACACGCUGACUAUAUCUAUAUACUUAGAAGACAAACCGACGAUUAACCCACCUCGAUAGCUAAUCCCAAUCCGGCGCGACGUCAAGAAUGGCAGAAUCGCACCCUCACCCGGCCUCCCUGCAGCGCUACGACGACGAAGACAUGCUCGAACAGCACCGCGGCGCAACGUCGAUGACGAACCAACUCCACCUGAGCUCCUCCACAAACCGAACCAAGCUGAGAGAGAGAGGAGAAGAAGAGCAGUCAAAUUCUUCCUCUCAUCCUCUCUACACUGAU
rnacentral:lncRNA from 1 species